UCUAGUAGCUGGUUCCCUCCGA
rnacentral:ncRNA from 2 species